UGGGGGAUCGUCUAACGGUAGGACAGCGGCCUUUGAAGCCGUUAAUUUUGGUUCGAUUCCAAGUCCCCCAG
rnacentral:tRNA from 1 species